rnacentral:SRP_RNA from 1 species
AGCCGGGUCCCGCGCAACGGACAGCUGUGAACUCCGUCAGGCCCGGAAGGGAGCAGCGGUAACGGCUUCAGCCGUGUGCCGCGGGGGUGCCUGGCUGUC